rnacentral:rRNA from 1 species
AUUGAACGCUGGCGGCAGGCUUAACACAUGCAAGUCGAGCGGGGUGAGGUGCUUCGGUACUGAUCCUAGCGGCGGACGGGUGAGUAAUGCUUAGGAAUCUGCCAUUUAGUGGGGGACAACAUUCCGAAAGGAAUGCUAAUACCGCAUACGUCCUACGGGAGAAAGCAGGGGAUCUUAGGACCUUGCGCUAAAUGAUGAGCCUAAGUCGGAUUAGCUAGUUGGUGGGGUAAAGGCCUACCAAGGCGACGAUCUGUAGCGGGUCUGAGAGGAUGAUCCGCCACACUGGGACUGAGACACGGCCUAGACUCCUACGGGAGGCAGCAGUGGGGAAUAUUGGACAAUGGGCGGAAGCCUGAUCCAGCCAUGCCGCGUGUGUGAAGAAGGCCUUUUGGUUGUAAAGCACUUUAAGCGAGGAGGAGGCUACCUAGAUUAAUACUCUGGGAUAGUGGACGUUACUCGCAGAAUAAGCACCGGCUAACUCUGUGCCAGCCGCCGCCGUAACAC